GCGGGUGUAGUUUAGUGGUAAAAUUCAAGCUUCCCAAGCUUGCGUCGCGAGUCCGAUUCUCGUCACCCGCU
rnacentral:tRNA from 1 species